rnacentral:rRNA from 1 species
AGCAGCCGCGGUAAUUCCAGCUCCAAUAGCGUAUAUUAAAGUUGCUGCAGUUAAAAAGCUCGUAGUUGAAUUUCGGGACUAAUAUGUCGGUCGUGCCUCGGUACGUACUGGCUUAUUGGUUUCUCCUUUCUGAAGAACCAUGAUGUCAUUUAUUUGGUGUCGUGGGGAAUCAGGACUGUUACUUUGAAAAAAUUAGAGUGUUUAAAGCAGGCUCACGCUUGAAUACAUUAGCAUGGAAUAAUGAAAUAGGACGUUUGAUUCUAUUUUGUUGGUUUCUAGGAUCGACGUAAUGAUUAAUAGGGAUAGUUGGGGGCAUUAGUAUUCAAUUGUCAGAGGUGAAAUUCUUGGAUUUAUUGAAGACUAACUACUGCGAAAGUAUUUGCCAAGGAUGUUUUCAUUAAUCAAGAACGAAAGUUAGGGGAUCGAAGACGAUCAGAUACCGUCGUAGUCUUAACCAUAAACUAUGCCGACUAGGGAUCGGAUGAUGUUAAUUUUUUAAUGACUCAUUCGGCGCCUUACG